rnacentral:rRNA from 1 species
UACGUAGGGUGCAAGCGUUGUCCGGAAUUAUUGGGCGUAAAGAGCUCGUAGGCGGUUUGUCACGUCGGAUGUGAAACCCUGAGGCUCAACCUCAGGCCUGCAUUCGAUACGGGCAGACUAGAAUUCGGCAGGGGAGACUGGAAUUCCUGGUGUAGCGGUGAAAUGCGUAGAUAUCGUAAGGAAGACCAGUGGCGAAGGCGGGUCUCUGGACAGUUCCUGACGCUGAGGCACGAAGGCCAGGGGAGCAAACGGG